GAUUGCUGGAAGCAAGUAGUUCAGUAUUGUCCACACUGACUGGCAGCCGCUCUCUGGAGUUUGGAACAGGAAACUCUCCCAGUCCCACCUGCAGAUGCUGUAGGGUAUUGAACCGGGGACCACCUGAAUGAAAGGCAAGUAUUCUACCUCUGAGCUAUGACCCUUCCCAAAUCCGGCUCUAUACAAUUUUCCUCUUUGUAGGAAGUAUUGAAGGGGGUGUUUUUGCCUGUCCCUUCCUUUCAGAGCAGUUGAUUUUGCCCACCAGAGAUCUUUCAGCCCCAUCCCAUUCUGUGUUUGUUUAAAACAUUAUCCCCUGUGUUAGGAGGUAUUUGCACAUCUGUAGGAAUGGUGUGUAGGGGGGUUAAGGUCAGUUGGGAUCUACCAGUGGAUCUCUUAGUGAUUUGCAGUAGAUUGACAAGCGCAAAUGUUUCACAAUUGCAGCAACAACAUGAUAUUAAACAAAAUAAAUAAACUGGGCUCUGUACACCCCUUUGAAAUUCCCUUGAAAUAUCAAGGGUUGAAUCCGUCUCAGUCAAUGCAAGAGCGGAAGGACUUCCGCUCACGCAACAGCUUCCGCUCACACAACGACACUUCCACUCCCUCCCUUUCACCUGCACUGUCCUCAGAUAUGCUCUAGAGAGUUGUGGGGAGGAGAAGAUUUGGCAGGGAGGUGCAUAAAGGCACGUGGAGGGAGAGGAGAGGAAAUUCUGUUGUGUGAGCAGAAGUCAUUCUGCGACAACUUAGUUCGAUACAACCCCUAAAGGAUGAAUAAAUGCUUGCAAACAAACGAAAUUGAAUAAAAAGAGACCCAAAUUUUCUAAAUGUGCACCUAGACAUAUAAAUUAGCAAAUGCAAAUUCUAUGUAAAUCUUAAUCCUUUGAGCAGGGGUGCCCCAUGUGCAAGAGAGAGAGAGAGAGAGGAAAGCCAAUUUAACUGAGUUACCUUGCAGUUGCAGUGAUGAGGCUUAGUAGCUGUUUCUGGUUACAUAUCUUUGGAGUGAAGACAGCCUCAGAUUCUAACUGGGAGUGGGCGAGAGACUCAGCCCUCAAGCCCAGCUGAAAAAUAUGGGGGAAACAUUUCUUUAUGCAGCUCUCCAGUUGCAUCUCAACCCUUCCUCACCAAUUAUUCCUUCUUCCUACACCCCUUGAACUAACCGAGUUCGCUCUGGAAACAUGAGAAGAGCUACCUCUGUCCCAGAAACCUCUGCGUUCAUUUACGCAACUCAGACCAUCUAUGAGCUGAGCAGCUGAUGGACAAGACUCCACCUGAUCCAUCAUUGUGAAGCCAUCUCCUGCAUCCGUCCCUUCUCCCUCCUGUCUUUUCCCAAUCCCCGGGUUUCCAGUUCCACGCUGGCCUAGUCUGACUACCACUAUCCAAGUUAAUUGGUUGUUCCCCUGAGGCCUGAUCUAAUAGCCAUACGAAUAAAGUUAUUUUGAACAGUUGUCCAUGAGUUCAUCUCCUGGAAAGCUUCAGGCACAGCUGUUGCUAUCCACUCUUCUUUUUAUUAUUUUAAAAUGUUACUUCUUUUUUAUUUUUAUGUUUUUUUUAUUAAACUCAAAUGGGGGAGAUUAAGGGAGUAACGUAAGCUACUCCCCAAAUGUCAGGUGCCUGGUCCGCUCCUAUAAACCGGCCUUUGUGAGCAGUUUCAUUCGUCUCUUUCUCUCGGAGUUGGCAGAGGGUUUGGCAGGCUCCCAAAGGCAGCCAAAUGGACGGAUUUCUUGGCAGGAACCGCAAGCUUUUGCUCCUUGCCACCCGACACAAGCGGUGGGGUGUGGGACUGAGGGCCAAGGCUGGAGAAGCCACAGGGAGGCCUGGAGGGGUUGGAGAGCCAGUCCCAUUAGCCAGAGAGGGGAGUUGAGAGAGUCUGGCUGGGAGCAACAAGCCCAGAGCUGUGGGGAGGAAAGCAGGAGAUGUCACAACAACACCACUUUCCCCCUUGAAAACCAAUUUGCACCCUUCUUAUAGACAAUAAGAAGAUGUGUUGCCUAUUUCCUGUGUUGCCUUUUUGUUGUGGUAAGGAAAUUAGACUACAAAUAUUAACUUCGGUCACUGUUGUGGCAAUGGUUGAGUUAACUGGUGUUGUUUUCAGACAGGUUUUUUGUUUUAGUGAGUUGUGUAGCUCAGAGGAUUUAGAAUGAAAAUGCGAACCACACAUUUAAUAUAUAAGAAACUGCUUUAGAGCAAAAAUAAAUAAACAAAGAGUCUCUUGUUAUUGUUUCUUUUUAAAAGCCCUUUAUUUAUACAAUUUCAGGAGAACUCCCACAGAUAAGUCUGUACUUGUCGUAUUUGGUGAAGAAUUGCUUUGAGGAAUCUGAGCUCCUAGUCCUUAUUGUUGUGUGGGGCUUAUAUUGGAGCAAUUACGGUGGGGUGACAAUGUAAUUUCAAUGCAUUUCAGCACGUUUAAACCAGCCAAGUCUUCUUUCUCCUCUUCUGGCAGUUAUCUUUGUUCAAUUGGCUCCUAUAUUAGGUGGUGUGGGUGUGGGUGGGUGUAGUUCCACACUUUGCUGUUCUCCACAUAUGGACUGAUGUUGAGCACAGAUAUCAAUUUCCAAACAAUCUCAUGUUUACUUUUUAAAAAUCAAGUUUCUAGUCUUUAGGCUUGGUGAAAGAAGCUGGAUGGGGAACUGUGACUGAGGAGGACCUUCCAACUGGGUUUCAGCUCCGAGACUCUUGCCCCUUUCCAUUCACAUUACAUAUGUGGAUCUUUUCAAACUGCCCAAAUUACUCAGGAUCAAAACACCAGCCAGCUUUGAACAGCCCCAAACCACAAACACACAUAUCAGUCCCGCCUCAAAUCUUCUCCCAUUCCUGUCUGGGGGGCAGAGCAGAGGGGAAGACCUGAGGUCAACCCUCAGGGGAAGUGUGGCUUGUCAAUUUGUGGCCAGCCACAGAGCCUCCUUCUCCCGCAGCCACAUCCGGCCCUCUCUCCACCUCACAGACAUUGCCAACCUUGCCCAUUUGGAGCUGUCUGCCAAGGUCUGACGUUGACUCAUGGACAUCACUUGGGAAAUCAAAACAGGGAGACAAACGCUUGGGUGACAGAAGCGGGUUGUGUUUCUGAAGGGCCUUGUGUUUCUGAAGCAGCCUCAACAGUGGAAGAUGCUUAAUGCCAACUCAGACCAUUGGUCCACCCAGCUCAGAAGCUGGGAGCCAUCUCUUUGUCUCCCCCAGCUGUCAAUCCCCUAACAUCAAAAGUGUUGCACACCGAUAACCAGCUGAUUGUCGGGGCUUCUCUGCGCAGCUGAUGGUUUACAGAGCAAAAGUGCCGAAAAUCAGGCAGUGCCUGCAAAACAACACCAGAAGAGGCUGGCUCCUGGAUCCUGCCAGUGGCCCAUCUAAACCAGCAUCCAGUUCUCACAGUGGCCAACCUGCAGGGGUGAGUUCCAUAGUGUGAAAUAUGCACUUUGUGAAGAAGGACGUCCUCUUAUGUGUUCUGCAUCUUCCAACGUUCAUCCCAGUUGCUUCUUUACCUGCCUCACAUCUUGUCAUGUAAGAUCAGCUUCAUUCCCAUCAGUAGUGGUCAGCCGCUAACUUAAUUAAUAACACAAUAGCUCCACCCAUAAAUCAAUCAAAGCUAUAGACCAUGCGUUGGGGAUUGGGGGGGCAUCAUUGGUCCAAGACAGUAUUGCCUUUCCUCUCCAAUGUGCUGCAGCCAAGUCAGAACUCCCUCAUCCGAAACUUAUAUUUUUGAUUCUUAGUAUCUCCAGCUGCUCAAGAAACCAGUCCCAUUUACUGGGUGUGAACCUCUGAUUGGGAAGGAUUGCUAUUGUGGCUAAUUUUCUUUUUUUUGGGGGGGUGGAGAUGUCCUCAGAGAAGCAACAUUUGGGGAAGCUUCAUCCUGGAAUAUGGCGCAAAAAGGGAAGUCUUGGAGAGAGGGGUUUGAUCUCGCCACAACCACCUGCUUCAACUCAAAAACAAUGGAAAAUAGAGAAUAUCUGGAGCAACCCUUUUUCUCUCUCACACACACUCACUUACAGGGGUGCCAACCUGAAUAAAAUAUGGGGGGGGGUGCCACGUAAGGCCCAUCCUGUAUAAUCACAAGAUGUGGCAUGCACACACCAUCUGAAUGGCAAUGUCCAUCAACUCGGGGGGGGGGGGCUAGCCCCCUCAAAUAUUAUAGGGGGGCCCGAAGGGACCUUGACCCCUAGGAGUUGACUCCUAUGCUCCCUCCCAAUUUUUAAAGGAGCACAAACUUUAUAGAUCUAGCAGGAGAUGAGCUAUUUGGUUUCUUCACCAGACAAUUCUCUUCUACAAAAUCCCCCUAAGUUUCCCUCCCCACACUAUCCCUUUUAAACAUUUUCUACAUUUAUCCUCCCGCAGACUGACGAUGGUGAGGGAGUCUGUACAUCAGAACCGGCUGCCAGCUCUGUGGGUUUCUCGAGGGAAGAUCCAAAAGGAAAUAACAUCCACUGAGAACUUGCAGGCCCCAGCUUGUGGCCAGCACCGCCCCCCGGUGGCCAUGGUGGAGGGCUGCCUCUCUCCCAGACCUCUCCUUGACCCAUGCCAAGUGCUGGCCCAGGCCCUGGAACGUCUCAGGCUCCUUCCAAGGUGCAUUUUCCAGCCUGGUCCACCCAGCCCCGGCUUCUCGCCAUACGCAUAAGAGCCGCCACCCGAUAUUUCCUGCCGGCUGUGUGCAUGUCAGGCCCAUUAGCAGUGUGAAAUCAGGAUCAUAACAGGCAGAGACAGGCCUGGAGAGGAGCAGGGCGGGUGGUGAGGGCAGCAGAUUCGCCUCCUGCCGGCAAUCUUGACCCCUCCUGCCCUUCAAAAAAGCAAAAGCAUAGAAGUGAUUUAACUGCAUUGUAUUAUUUUAUUUUUUUACACCUUUGUAUCCUGUCAUGGGAAGAGAUAGGUGAGAAAUAAUAAUAAUAAUAAUUCCUUCCAGUAGCACCUUAGAGACCAACUAAGUUAGUUAUUGGUAUGAGUUUUCGUGUGCAUGCACACUCCUUCAGAUGCAUGCACACGAAAGCUCAUACCAACAAUUAACUUAGUUCGUCUCUAAGGUGCUACUGGAAGGAAUUUUUUUAUUUUGUUUCAACUACAGCAGACCAACACAGCUACCCACCUGUAAAAUAAUAAUAAUAAUAAUAAUAAUAAUAAUAAUAAUAAUAAUAGAAUUAUGAAGUUGGAAAGAACUCCAAAGUUCAUCUAGUCCAACCCCCUGCAAUGCAGGAAAAUAAUCAUCAUUGUUGCUAUGUUGUUUAUUCUCAGUGCAGACGCAUUUAAAGUAAUAGAGCUAAAUUAGUCAUCUCCAUUUUUUCCAUAAUUCUGCAUAUGCUCAGAGAUCUGCGCUGGUUGCUGAUCUGUUGUCGGUUCAAGUUCAGGGUGUUACUAAGGUAAAAGGCAAAGGAGUCCUGAACGAUUAAGUCCAGUCAAAGGUGAUUAUUGGGUUGUGGCGUUCAUCUCGCUUUCAGGCCGAGGGAGCCGGUGUUUGUCCACAGCUAGCUUUCCGGGUCAUGUGGCCAGCAGGACUAAACUGCUUCUGGAGCAACGGAAUCACCAUAAUGGAAACCAGAGCGGCGCACAGAAACGCCAUUUACCUUCCCGCCACAGCGGUACCUAUUUAUCUACUUGCACUGGCAUGCUUUCAAACUGCUAGACUGGAAGGAGCUGGGACAGAGCAAUGGGAGCUCACCCCGUCGAGCAAUCAGCAAGCCCAAGAGGCUCAGUGGUUUAGACCACAGCACCACCCUCGUCCAGGGUGUUACUAUUAGUAUAUAAAGCCCUUAAUAACUUGGCACCUACACUUUGGAACACCCUGCCUAUUGAUAUCAGGCAGGCACCUACUAAAACACUGCUGUUUCAACAAGAAACAACAAUGUUUUAAUGGUUUUUACUAGUCAUUUUACUUCUUUUCGUAAUUCUCAUUGAGGCUGUUGUUGUUGUUUUAAACAAACCAGCGGGAUAUACAUUUUAUGAAAUAAAGAAUAAAUAAACUAUGGAGUAAACUAUGGAACUUAUACCCCCAGGAGGCAAUGAUGGAUACCAACUUAGAUGGCUUUAAAAGAGGACUGGACAGAUUCAUGGAGGAGGAGAAGUCUACCAUCGAUUGCUAGCUAUGGUGGCUAAACUCGUGUCUCCACAGUCAGAUGCAGUCAUGCUUCUUAA
rnacentral:lncRNA from 1 species